UACGUAGGGUGAGAGCGUUGUCCGGAAUUAUUGGGCGUAAAGGGCUCGUAGGCGGUUUGUCGCGUCGGGAGUGAAAACACCGGGCUUAACUCGGUGCUUGCUUUCGAUACGGGCAGACUAGAGGCAUGCAGGGGAGAACGGAAUUCCUGGUGUAGCGGUGAAAUGCGCAGAUAUCAGGAGGAACACCGGUGGCGAAGGCGGUUCUCUGGGCAUGUCCUGACGCUGAGGUGCGAAAGCGUGGGGAGCAAACAGG
rnacentral:rRNA from 1 species